CAACCCCCAUAUUUCUCACGA
rnacentral:rRNA from 2 species